CCACUUAGGAGGGACGGGCUUCUCUUGGAGGGGGAGGGUAAACCCUGGGACCCUCUUGAAAUGGAAAUCCGGGAACGGGGUUAACCGGUGUUUGAUGACCCGUGUUUAAAUAAAGAGGUGCUUUAGUCCCAUUAAGAGGGCCCGCGCCCUUAGUUAGUGGUGAGUAAGGCUCCACAGGGGACGUUGGUACCCCACUGAGAGGUGAUGGCCCAACUGGGACUGGACACGGCCCAGAUUCUUAGGGGAGCAGCAGUAGGAAUCUUCCGCAAUGGACGAAGUCUGACGAGCAACGCCGCUGAAUGAUGAAGUUUUCGGAUCGUAAAACUCUGUUGUUAGGAAGAACAAGUACCGUUCGAAUAGGGCGGUACCUUGACGGUACCUAACCAGAAAGCCACGGCUAACUACGUGCCAGCAGCCGCGGUAAUACGUAGGUGGCAAGCGUUGUCCGGAAUUAUUGGGCGUAAAGCGCGCGCAGGCGGUUUCUUAAGUCUGAUGUGAAAGCCCCCGGCUCAACCGGGGAGGGUCAUUGGAAACUGGGGAACUUGAGUGCAGAAGAGGAGAGUGGAAUUCCACGUGUAGCGGUGAAAUGCGUAGAGAUGUGGAGGAACACCAGUGGCGAAGGCGACUCUCUGGUCUGUAACUGACGCUGAGGCGCGAAAGCGUGGGGAGCGAACAGGAUUAGAUACCCUGGUAGUCCACGCCGUAAACGAUGAGUGCUAAGUGUUAGAGGGUUUCCGCCCUUUAGUGCUGCAGCAAACGCAUUAAGCACUCCGCCUGGGGAGUACGGUCGCAAGACUGAAACUCAAAGGAAUUGACGGGGGCCCGCACAAGCGGUGGAGCAUGUGGUUUAAUUCGAAGCAACGCGAAGAACCUUACCAGGUCUUGACAUCCUCUGACAACCCUAGAGAUAGGGCUUCCCCUUCGGGGGCAGAGUGACAGGUGGUGCAUGGUUGUCGUCAGCUCGUGUCGUGAGAUGUUGGGUUAAGUCCCGCAACGAGCGCAACCCUUGAUCUUAGUUGCCAGCAUUCAGUUGGGCACUCUAAGGUGACUGCCGGUGACAAACCGGAGGAAGGUGGGGAUGACGUCAAAUCAUCAUGCCCCUUAUGACCUGGGCUACACACGUGCUACAAUGGGCAGAACAAAGGGCAGCGAAGCCGCGAGGCUAAGCCAAUCCCACAAAUCUGUUCUCAGUUCGGAUCGCAGUCUGCAACUCGACUGCGUGAAGCUGGAAUCGCUAGUAAUCGCGGAUCAGCAUGCCGCGGUGAAUACGUUCCCGGGCCUU
rnacentral:rRNA from 2 species